rnacentral:rRNA from 1 species
GAUGAACGCUAGCGGGAGGCCUAACACAUGCAAGCCGAGCGGUAUUUGUUCUUCGGAACAGAGAGAGCGGCGCACGGGUGCGGAACACGUGUGCAACCUGCCUUUAUCUGGGGGAUAGCCUUUCGAAAGGAAGAUUAAUACCCCAUAAUAUAUUGAGUGGCAUCAUUUGAUAUUGAAAACUCCGGUGGAUAGAGAUGGGCACGCGCAAGAUUAGAUAGUUGGUGAGGUAACGGCUCACCAAGUCAAUGAUCUUUAGGGGGCCUGAGAGGGUGAUCCCCCACACUGGUACUGAGACACGGACCAGACUCCUACGGGAGGCAGCAGUGAGGAAUAUUGGACAAUGGGUUAGCGCCUGAUCCAGCCAUCCCGCGUGAAGGACGACGGCCCUAUGGGUUGUAAACCUCUUUUGUAUAGGGAUAAACCUACUCUCGUGAGAGUAGCUGAAGGUACUAUACGAAUAAGCACCGGCUAACUCCGUG